rnacentral:rRNA from 1 species
CCCCGGGCUCAACCUGGGAACUGCGUUNUGAACUGGGUGACUAGAGUGUGUCAGAGGGAGGUAGAAUUNCACGUGUAGCAGUGAAAUGCGUAGAGAUGUGGAGGAAUACCGAUGGCGAAGGCAGCNUCCUGGGAUAACACUGACGUUCAUGCCCGAAAGCGUGGGUAGCAAACAGGAUUAGAUACCCUGGUAGUCCACGCCCUAAACGAUGUCGAUUAGCCGUUGGGCAGCAUGACUGCUUAGUAGCGAAGCUAACGCGUGAAAUCGACCGCCUGGGGAGUACGGUCGCAAGAUUAAAACUCAAAGGAAUUGACGGGGACCCGCACAAGCGGUGGAUGAUGUGGAUUAAUUCGAUGCAACGCGAAGAACCUUACCUGGUCUUGACAUGUACGGAACCCUCCAGAGACGGAGGGGUGCCUUCGGGAGCCGUAACACAGGUGCUGCAUGGCUGUCGUCAGCUCGUGUCGUGAGAUGUUGGGUUAAGUCCCGCAACGAGCGCAACCCUUGUCAUUAGUUGCCAUCAUUAAGUUGGGCACUCUAAUGAGACUGCCGGUGACAAGCCGGAGGAAGGUGGGGAUGACGUCAAGUCCUCAUGGCCCUUAUGACCAGGGCUUCACACGUCAUACAAUGGUCGGUACAGAGGGUAGCCAAGCCGCGAGGUGGAGCCAAUCUCACAAAACCGAUCGUAGUCCGGAUUGCACUCUGCAACUCGAGUGCAUGAAGUCGGAAUCGCUAGUAAUCGCAGGUCAGCAUACUGCGGUGAAUACGUUCCCGGGUCUUGUACACACCGCCCGUCACACCAUGGGAGUGGGGGAUACCAGAAGUAGGUAGGGUAACCGCAAGGAGCCCNC